AACGAACGCUGGCGGCGCGCCUAAUACAUGCAAGUCGAGCGAGAAAGUGUAGCAAUACACUUGUAAAGCGGCGAACGGGUGAGGAAUACAUGGGUAAUCUACCAUCGAGUGGGGAAUAACCAGCCGAAAGGUUGGCUAAUACCGCGUACGCUUCCGAGUCUUCGGGCUUGGAAGGAAAGCCGCACUGUGAGUGCGGCGCUCUUUGAUGAGCUCAUGUCCUAUCAGCUUGUUGGUAGGGUAACGGCCUACCAAGGCUUUGACGGGUAGCUGGUCUGAGAGGACGAUCAGCCACACUGGCACUGCGACACGGGCCAGACUCCUACGGGAGGCAGCAGUAAGGAAUAUUGCGCAAUGGGCGAAAGCCUGACGCAGCGACGCCGCGUGGGGGAUGAAGGUCUUCGGAUUGUAAACCCCUUUCGGGAGGGAAGAUGGAGCGAGCAAUCGUUCGGACGGUACCUCCAGAAGCAGCCACGGCCAACUCGUGCCAGCAGCCG
rnacentral:rRNA from 1 species